AUCCCUUUGGCUGCUCUGUAGCUCUCCACACUGCAGGUCUCCGCACAAGCAGGGCUGCCUCCCUCCACUCCUUCCCAAGAGGUGAUUCCAAGUGCAGAAAGCUGUGGAUUCCUCUGAAGAAAUACGUGCUCACAAAAAUAUGGCAAAACACCAGACAGAGACUAAGACGAUGAAAAGUCUGGAGGAAAAGUCUUACAAAGAGC